UUGCUCGCUUCGGCAGUACAUAUACUAAAACUGGAAGGGAAGAUUAGCAUGGCCCCUGUGCAAAGAUGACACGCAAAUUUGCAAAGUGGUCCAUAUUUUU
rnacentral:snRNA from 1 species